UACGGAGGGGGCUAGCGUUGUUCGGAAUUACUGGGCGUAAAGCGCGCGUAGGCGGAUCUGCAAGUCGGGGGUGAAAUCCCGAGGCUCAACCUCGGAACUGCCUUCGAUACUGCGGGUCUCGAGUCCGGGAGAGGUGAGUGGAAUUCCUAGUGUAGAGGUGAAAUUCGUAGAUAUUAGGAAGAAACACCAGUGGCGAAGGGCGGCUCACUGGCCCGGUAC
rnacentral:rRNA from 1 species